GUGCCAGCAGCCGCGGUAAUACGUAGGUGGCAAGCGUUGUCCGGAAUUACUGGGUGUAAAGGGCGUGUAGGCGGGAAAGCAAGUCAGAAGUGAAAUCCCAUGGCUUAACUGUGGAGCUGCUUCUGAAACUGUUUUUCUUGAGUGCUGGAGAGGAAAGUGGAAUUCCCAGUGUAGCGGUGAAAUGCGUAGAGAUUGGGAGGAACACCAGUGGCGAAGGCGGCUUUCUGGACAGUAACUGACGCUGAGGCGCGAAAGCGUGGGGAGCAAACAGGAUUAGAAACCCGAGUAGUCCAAU
rnacentral:rRNA from 1 species